rnacentral:rRNA from 1 species
UUAAGUUAUUAAGGGCGCACGGUGGAUGCCUUGGCACUAGAAGCCGAUGAAGGACGUUACUAACGACGAUAUGCUUUGGGGAGCUGUAAGUAAGCUUUGAUCCAGAGAUUUCCGAAUGGGGAAACCCAGCAUGAGUUAUGUCAUGUUAUCGAUAUGUGAAUACAUAGCAUAUCAGAAGGCACACCCGGAGAACUGAAACAUCUUAGUACCCGGAGGAAGAGAAAGAAAAUUCGAUUCCCUUAGUAGCGGCGAGCGAAACGGGAAGAGCCCAAACCAACAAGCUUGCUUGUUGGGGUUGUAGGACACUCUAUACGGAGUUACAAAGGACGACAUUAGACGAAUCAUCUGGAAAGAUGAAUCAAAGAAGGUAAUAAUCCUGUAGUCGAAAAUGUUGUCUCUCUUGAGUGGAUCCUGAGUACGACGGAGCACGUGAAAUUCCGUCGGAAUCUGGGAGGACCAUCUCCUAAGGCUAAAUACUCUCUAGUGACCGAUAGUGAACCAGUACCGUGAGGGAAAGGUGAAAAGCACCCCGGAAGGGGAGUGAAAUAGAACCUGAAACCGUGUGCUUACAAGUAGUCAGAGCCCGUUAAUGGGUGAUGGCGUGCCUUUUGUAGAAUGAACCGGCGAGUUACGAUUUGAUGCAAGGUUAAGCAGUAAAUGUGGAGCCGUAGCGAAAGCGAGUCUGAAUAGGGCGUUUAGUAUUUGGUCGUAGACCCGAAACCAGGUGAUCUACCCUUGGUCAGGUUGAAGUUCAGGUAACACUGAAUGGAGGACCGAACCGACUUACGUUGAAAAGUGAGCGGAUGAACUGAGGGUAGCGGAGAAAUUCCAAUCGAACCUGGAGAUAGCUGGUUCUCUCCGAAAUAGCUUUAGGGCUAGCCUCAAGUGAUGAUUAUUGGAGGUAGAGCACUGUUUGGACGAGGGGCCCCUCUCGGGUUACCGAAUUCAGACAAACUCCGAAUGCCAAUUAAUUUAACUUGGGAGUCAGAACAUGGGUGAUAAGGUCCGUGUUCGAAAGGGAAACAGCCCAGACCACCAGCUAAGGUCCCAAAAUAUAUGUUAAGUGGAAAAGGAUGUGGCGUUGCCCAGACAACUAGGAUGUUGGCUUAGAAGCAGCCAUCAUUUAAAGAGUGCGUAAUAGCUCACUAGUCGAGUGACACUGCGCCGAAAAUGUACCGGGGCUAAACAUAUUACCGAAGCUGUGGAUUGUCCUUUGGACAAUGGUAGGAGAGCGUUCUAAGGGCGUUGAAGCAUGAUCGUAAGGACAUGUGGAGCGCUUAGAAGUGAGAAUGCCGGUGUGAGUAGCGAAAGACGGGUGAGAAUCCCGUCCACCGAUUGACUAAGGUUUCCAGAGGAAGGCUCGUCCGCUCUGGGUUAGUCGGGUCCUAAGCUGAGGCCGACAGGCGUAGGCGAUGGAUAACAGGUUGAUAUUCCUGUACCACCUAUAAUCGUUUUAAUCGAUGGGGGGACGCAGUAGGAUAGGCGAAGCGUGCGAUUGGAUUGCACGUCUAAGCAGUAAGGCUGAGUAUUAGGCAAAUCCGGUACUCGUUAAGGCUGAGCUGUGAUGGGGAGAAGACAUUGUGUCUUCGAGUCGUUGAUUUCACACUGCCGAGAAAAGCCUCUAGAUAGAAAAUAGGUGCCCGUACCGCAAACCGACACAGGUAGUCAAGAUGAGAAUUCUAAGGUGAGCGAGCGAACUCUCGUUAAGGAACUCGGCAAAGUGACCCCGUAACUUCGGGAGAAGGGGUGCUCUUUAGGGUUAACGCCCAGAAGAGCCGCAGUGAAUAGGCCCAAGCGACUGUUUAUCAAAAACACAGGUCUCUGCUAAACCGUAAGGUGAUGUAUAGGGGCUGACGCCUGCCCGGUGCUGGAAGGUUAAGAGGAGUGGUUAGCUUCUGCGAAGCUACGAAUCGAAGCCCCAGUAAACGGCGGCCGUAACUAUAACGGUCCUAAGGUAGCGAAAUUCCUUGUCGGGUAAGUUCCGACCCGCACGAAAGGCGUAACGAUUUGGGCACUGUCUCAACGAGAGACUCGGUGAAAUCAUAGUACCUGUGAAGAUGCAGGUUACCCGCGACAGGACGGAAAGACCCCGUGGAGCUUUACUGUAGCCUGAUAUUGAAAUUCGGCACAGCUUGUACAGGAUAGGUAGGAGCCUUUGAAACGUGAGCGCUAGCUUACGUGGAGGCGCUGGUGGGAUACUACCCUAGCUGUGUUGGCUUUCUAACCCGCACCACUUAUCGUGGUGGGAGACAGUGUCAGGCGGGCAGUUUGACUGGGGCGGUCGCCUCCUAAAAGGUAACGGAGGCGCUCAAAGGUUCCCUCAGAAUGGUUGGAAAUCAUUCAUAGAGUGUAAAGGCAUAAGGGAGCUUGACUGCGAGACCUACAAGUCGAGCAGGGUCGAAAGACGGACUUAGUGAUCCGGUGGUUCCGCAUGGAAGGGCCAUCGCUCAACGGAUAAAAGCUACCCCGGGGAUAACAGGCUUAUCUCCCCCAAGAGUUCACAUCGACGGGGAGGUUUGGCACCUCGAUGUCGGCUCAUCGCAUCCUGGGGCUGUAGUCGGUCCCAAGGGUUGGGCUGUUCGCCCAUUAAAGCGGUACGCGAGCUGGGUUCAGAACGUCGUGAGACAGUUCGGUCCCUAUCCGUCGUGGGCGUAGGAAAUUUGAGAGGAGCUGUCCUUAGUACGAGAGGACCGGGAUGGACAUACCUCUGGUGUACCAGUUGUCGUGCCAACGGCAUAGCUGGGUAGCUAUGUGUGGACGGGAUAAGUGCUGAAAGCAUCUAAGCAUGAAGCCCCCCUCAAGAUGAGAUUUCCCAACUUCGGUUAUAAGAUCCCUCAAAGAUGAUGAGGUUAAUAGGUUCGAGGUGGAAGCAUGGUGACAUGUGGAGCUGACGAAUACUAAUCGAUCGAAGACUUAAUCAA